CUGGCGGUCGCGCCGUGCUGUGGCCGUGUCAUCGACCCCUCUUAGCGCCAACAGAGAAGGCGUGAGACGGAGUCUUGAAUGACCAGUAAAUUGUGAAAAGCAGUGCUUGAUGUGGGAAAAAGAAGAGGCAUUUCUUAAGAUGCUUCUGCAUUGUAAGCCAAAUGGAGAUGGAUGGAUAUAUAUUACACUUACAGACCAGGAGUGGGGUAUUGACAUAUAUGCUCCAUGAUUCAUCGAUUUUAUGUUUGAAGAUGCCUCAACACUAGAUUUACAGCCUCCAAGAUACAUGGAAUUAAAGACCAUCAGAGGGGUCCUCCUUGCUACAUCACCAGCUGAAUAAUAUGCAGUAAUGUGAGGUUGUGAGAAGUGCCAGUUCUGCUUAUUGUAAUUUUCAGGCCACUACAAGCACUGCAGCAAUGUUAUUAUAUUAAACGAUGUUAGAAUGUGUGUAUAUCCUAAGACAAAAUAUGUUUACAGUACAGUAUGUUGUAACUGAACUCUGUGCUGCCCCUCUCUCCAUAGGCCUGCUCCUAGUAUUUUAUUUAUUUCCAAUACAUUAGUUACUACUGUUGUUUUUAUUAGUUAUUACUUAUUUAUUUAUUACUAUCUGUUUCAAUGUAUUACCUAUUAUUUAUCUCUCAUCUAUUUGUAGUAUAGCAUAGUUCUUUACUUGCCUUGCACUUGUUCCCUGUUUAUAUGCGUGCUGCAUCAUGGUCCUGGGGAACAUUAUUUCAUUCCAUUAUAUACUGCAAUACUGUGGAUGGUACGUAUGACAAUAAACCACUUUACUUGAUUUGAAAUCCUUAUUUAAACUUCAUGUCAUACAAACUUAUGUCUUCUAAUGCAUUGUAUAAUUGUUCAUUUUAGCUUCUUUAUGGUAAGAUUCCAGUUUGAUUCCCUUUUUGUUAAUAAGAAAAUUUAAAUGUUCCCCUCAGUCCAAAAGAGAGACUGAUGAGCCCAGAUUGAUCAAUUGGAAGGAAGUAUUUAUGAAUUGACAGGGAUCCUAUCAAAGGAUAAUUCCUACCUUGUGCCCAAUUCUUGAUUUAGCUAGGUUCUAGGUUAUUGCAGGCCUAUACAGGUUAAAAGCUGGUCCACAAAUAGGACUUGUAUUUAUUUCCAAACAUUUUCCUAUGCUUCUUUGCCAUUUGUCCUUUAGUAUAUUUUGAAUUCUUAUAAUCAAUAUAAAUAAAAUCGUAAUACCCUUU